rnacentral:tRNA from 1 species
GCAGUGGUGAUUCAGGGUAGAAUUCCUAAUUUCCAUGCUGGAGAUCUGGGUUUGAUUCCCAGCCGGUGCC